ensembl:snRNA U6 U6 spliceosomal RNA
GUGCUCACUUGGGCAGCACAUAUACUAAAACUGGAACAGUACAGAGAAGAUUAGCAUGGCCCUUGUGCAAGGGUGACACACAAAUUCAUGAAGCAUUCCAUAUAUAU